CUCUUAACCCUUCUCUUCUUCAUCCCUAGGGCUGCCCAUUUCUUUUUCAUGCCCAAUCUUGUUUGAUUUGAAGUUUAGAAGUUUGGAGGUGAAGCGUUGGCUCGAGACAAAGAGUUAUCUAAGGAUUAGCUUGCGAGGAAGAGAAAUCAUCAAUUUAGUGAGUGGGAUUAUUAAGCAUGACCCUAUUAGAAAAUUACCAAUAUUUAUAUGCUUAUAUACAAUCUAUCUUUCUUAAUGAGCUUUUGUUGGGUUCAUGAUUUAUUUUGAUAUGUUAUCUUGUUUAUUGCUAGUUUUUAUUGUUAAAGAUCUUGAAGAUAUUAUUCGGUAUUUAUAUUCUUGUUUGACUUGUAAUUGAGGCCCUUCAUGGAGUUUGUGAGAUCUUUGCACUUGUUUUUGAAAAGUUUUGUGUUUCAAAGGGGUUGUUUUGUCAAAUUGGGCUUCUUUGUAAAAAUCUUGGGUUUUUCUGAAAUAUAAGUUUGAAACUCAUUCUUGGGUUGUUAAAAGGUAAGAUUUUCCAUGUUUCUUGUGUGGGGUUUUUGUUAAUGAUUUGUGUUAAAAGCUUGAGUUUUGUUUGUGUUUUUAUCAUUUCCUUAUGGAAAUGGCUGAGACAUUGUUGAUUGAUGGUUAUUGGUGGCUAUUGUACUCCGUGUAGAGAGUGUUUAUUGUUAAGUUUGUAUAGUGAUCCUGCUGCAAUAGGCGGACUUCCACGGCCAAUUCAGGUUGGAGUGUAGAGUUCUGAUUGGAUAUUCAUCAAGUAGCCUUUGUCACUAGGCGGUGAGCCGAUGGGUCAACAUCAAGGGCAUGAGUACUUUGAUGGCUCUGAACCUAGCGGCGGCGGCGGCGAAGGUUUAGGGAGGUUUCUAGACCACUUUAUGUUGGGUUGUUGCAGGUAGCAGGUGCGGCUGUGUGGCACCGUGUUAGGCAUUUACUACUUUUCUAUCUUCUGUGUACCUUUUCAGUUCAUGUAUGUUCUUUUUGUCAUGGACAGGUUUUUUUACUUAUGGAUCCACUAGGGGGUAGUAAACCCUGUUGCAUAGUUUGGUAUCUAAACAACUUUUAAACCCUUGAUGUA